rnacentral:rRNA from 1 species
GAUGAACGCUGGCGGCGUGCCUAAUACAUGCAAGUCGAGCGAACAGACGAGGAGCUUGCUCCUCUGACGUUAGCGGCGGACGGGUGAGUAACACGUGGAUAACCUACCUAUAAGACUGGGAUAACUUCGGGAAACCGGAGCUAAUACCGGAUAAUAUAUUGAACCGCAUGGUUCAAUAGUGAAAGACGGUUUUGCUGUCACUUAUAGAUGGAUCCGCGCCGCAUUAGCUAGUUGGUAAGGUAACGGCUUACCAAGGCAACGAUGCGUAGCCGACCUGAGAGGGUGAUCGGCCACGCUGGAACUGAGACACGGUCCAGACUCCUACGGGAGGCAGCAGUAGGGAAUCUUCCGCAAUGGGCGAAAGCUUGACGGAGCAACGCCGCGUGAGUGAUGAAGGUCUUCGGAUCGUAAAACUCUGUUAUUAGGGAAGAACAAAUGUGUAAGUAACUAUGCACGUCUUGACGGUACCUAAUCAGAAAGCCACGGCUAACUACGUG